rnacentral:hammerhead_ribozyme from 15 species
CCGGCGUCUAAGGUAGGCUUCCACUACAAUACCUUACUGAUGAGUCCAGUAGUGGAAGUCGGGACAAAACGCCAA